rnacentral:lncRNA from 1 species
AGCCUGGGAACUUCCAUGUGUUGAGGGUUCGGCUCGAAAAAGACCCAAGAAAAAAAAAGAAAAAAGUUCACGUCUCUGCUUUGGUUUCCCGAAGGUUUUGUGCAAUGUCCUGAAUUCCUGGCAACCCAUAGAGAUUUUUCAUUUAAUGAUAAUGACACAAAGUUUCCUUUUUGGUUUCUCGCUUCUACAUAAAAACUGGGACUAACAGGUGCUUGGUGCUGGGAGGUGGAGUAGGUGGUGAGCCCUCAGGGGCUCAGGUCUGCAUGGUUACUGGUACCCUGGCGACAUGCCUACGAUCCUCCUGAUUGCUGUGUCUGCUGGAAGCAGUUCCACAGCAGCCCUCGCAGGGAGGUGAGACCUUUGCCAGGAGUUGCACAGCCAACAGUCCAGGUUACUGCGCCGUCCUGGUCCCCCCCCCACCCCGCCCCGGUCGUGCGUGGCCAGAGAGGCCCUCCCUCUUCUCCACCGAGGUCCACAGUGGAGUGCAGAGUGUGGGCUUUGGGAUCAGGCCUCCCCCCCUGUGUGCCCCGUGUCCUCCUCUAUAAAAAGAUUGCUGAACUUCCUGUCACAGUUCAAAAUGUCAUCUGCGGAACUCCUGGCCGUGUGGAUUCGGCACAACCCUCCCCACCCCUCCCCUACCCCCACACAGAGAGCUUCCCAAGUCCUGUGCCUGGAGGCGUGGAGAAAGCUAGGAGCAGGGCAGAAGCCCAGAAGCCGAAGCUGGGCUGCUUCAAGGAUGGCUGACCCGCCCGGGGCAGGUUAUUCUGUCUCCCAUCAAAGGACUGGAAUUCCAGGGUGUGGUGGCCUCAAGCCCUAGUGACAGCACCGUCACACAGACCCUUCAGAGACUGAGGCCCAGAUACUUCAGAGACUGAGGCCCAGACCCGGUACCAGUACCGCACAGGCUUUGCUAGGGUGGGGGUGGGAGGCCAGUACUUGCAGGCCUGUCUGGAGUGAUUGCUUUACACUCGGGGCUGGGACAGAAAUGAGAUUUGCAUUUGGGGAAGCUAAGGCUGCUGGCAGAGUCAACUCUGGCCACAAUCUCUAGCCUCCUGCUCCUUACCUGGGAUGCCCUCAUCCUGCACCUGCCGGCCAGCCAGUGUGGCAUGACUCUCCUUAGACCUAAUGAUAGGAAGGCCAGGCUUGGGGUGGGAAUUAGAGGCUGCACUUGCAGGCGCCAGAUGAGUCACCUUGCUCCCAGCCACUGGCAUUUGCAUGCACUUCCUGGCCACAGACGCACAUCCCUGGCAGGCUGCCCGAGCCAUCUGCCCUCCCUGGUGUGAUCCAGAUGUGGGCAGGAAGGAGCAGAGCUGAGGAGUCACCUCCUCUUCGUGGCUGCUUGGUGGUUGAAGGCAGGGGGACUCCCCCUCUUUCCCCAAAGAGAAUUAAAGACUAGGUGGGGGUCCCAGGGUCAGGGUCUCUUCAGCCCCUUGCCUGGCACUCCCGUGGGCCAGGCUGCAGCUGGGUCUGUGAGCUUAGACAUCAGACGGCUGAGCCCAAAUGCAGACUUCUGCACCCGUUAGCAGAGUUAAUUAGAACUUGCAGGCACCAUUUACCUCUUAGCUGAGUCUCCUUUUCUGUGCCAUUGGGAAGAAAAUAACCAUAUGAGGGUAAGCCGUUUUUACCUGCUACCACCACACUCGUAUGUGACAUGCAGAAGUUCCUGGGCCAGGGAUCGAACCUGUGCCAUAGCAGUGACAACACCAGGGCCUUAACCCCCUGAGCCACAAGGCAACUCCUCCACCACACUGACACCAAUGAUGUCAGCAACUUUUCCAACACCAUUUCUUUUCUUUUCUUUUCUUUUCUUUUCCUUUCUUUUUUUAAGGGAUGCACCUGUGUCAUAUGGAAGUUCCCAGGCUAGGGGUCACAUCGGAGCUGCAGCUGCCAGACCACACCACAGCCACGGCCACACCAGAUCCGAGCCGUGUCUGCGACCUACGCCAACAGCUCACAGCAACGCCAGAUCUUCAACCUGCUGAGCAAGGCAGGGAUGGAACCCGCAACCCUCAUGGAUAUUAGUUGGAUUCAUUACCACUGAGCUGCAAUGGAAACCCCUCCAACACCGUUCCUACAACUCUCUGCUAACACCAACUCGGAGGCCAACAUUCCAUUCCGUUCCGAUGCUUGCUGCCCAGACCUAACACAGACUCCGCGGGUGAAGGGCUCCGUCCCUCAAGACCGGCCCCACUGCAGACACCAGUGGCAAGUCGGAUCUCCAGGCAUCCACACGUCCUUCUGACCUGGCUACAAAGUCGGGGGUUGCCGAGGUCCAGCCCCAGCAGCCAGGGGGCGCCGAAGGAGAGGAUGGGCUACAAACGGCGCGGGAAGAAUUGGAGCCAACUCCUCAGCUGCAUGCUGCAGGUGACCCAAUUUAUUAAAUGAAAAGCGUCAGUUUUUAUACCCUAUCACAAUCAGGUUUCAUGUAAGAUUUGACAUUAACACUUGAUUUAAAGCCCUUUCUGUUCCCUCCACCUGAGAUACAAAAAAAAAAGGUAGUUAAAACAUGUUCCUUUCAACUUUAGAUUUUUCCUUCAAGAUUACAAACUUAAAGUUUCACACCGUAUUUUUCUUAAAAGGUCAACAACAGUAGCUAUUCUAUUUUAUAUUAAGAACAAAGCUUUAAUAAGUAAUAAACUAUGAUACCUAACAUUCUUUAACUAAAGGCGUAUGUAGUUAACAAAAACGCAUAAAAGCCUUGGGAUAAACACAGAAAAAUAGAUUAACAUAUUUUUUAGGGGAUAUCAUUUUUAUUUUCCUGGAGCCGAUGUCUUUCAAGGGAUUGCUCUGCAAUCCUUCUUCUUUCUUCAGCUUGUCUGUAGCUCUGCUAACCAGACAAGCCUCAUGCAGGUGCCGACUGUGGCUUUGCUUUCUUUGCUGGAGCAGCCUUAUGGCUCCCGACAGGGGGUCCUCACAACUGCCCCCUUACGAUUUACUGGAAGAGCUCACAGAACCCAGGAAGACACUUACGGGGCAGCAGAAGCACUUGGGAAUUAGCCAGUCAAAGCGCAGUCUGAUAGCCCCGGGGCAACUACAGUUUCAUGAGUCGUUACCCAGAAAUACCAAGGGUCCAUUUUCUUGCUGCCUGUCCUCUUCUUUUUUUUUUUUUUCUUUUUUAUCUUUUUAGGGCCUCCCUUAAGGCCUAUGGAAUUUCGAGGCCAGGGGUCAAAUUGGAGCUGCAGCCGCCGGCCUACAGCAUAAGCGCGGCAACACCAGAUACCAGCCGCGUCAUCUUCAAGGUAAUACCACCAUUCAGGGCAACGCCGGAUCCUUCACCCGCUGAGCGAAGCCAGGGAUUGAACCCGCAUCCUCAUGGAUCUAGGUUAUGAUCGUUAGCCGCUGAGCCACGAAGGGAACUCCUGGGUUCUGUAUUUUCGAAUUCACCUACUCACUAAAGCGCAUUUGUAACCCCAGGUUAACACUCACAGCUCUAUUUCAGGCAUUCGCGAACAUAUCCGCAGAACAGCCAAAAAUCUGAGUUGCCCAAUGCUCGCAUUCCCAGCCGAGGUCAAAGAAGGCUGUGCUGUGCCUUCUCGUGGUUGGCUGUUAUAUCGAUUCAUUUCACAUUGGGGUGUUUUUGUAGGUGAUUUUACUGUUUAAAAUGCCCCCCAGCAUAGUGCUGAGGGCCAUCUGGUGUGGUCAAGCUCCAGAAGGCUGUGACAUGCCUUGCAGAGAAUAUGUGUGUGUUGGGUGAGCUUCAUCUGGGCACCAAGGACUGCUGGUAGCCGUGAGUUCAAUGUUACUGUAGCAUCAAUAUAUAUAUACAAUAAGGAGUCUUCACACAGAAGCACAGGAGUUCUCAUCAUGGUGCAGCGGAAACAAAUCCGACUAGGUCGCGGGUUCCAUCCCUGGCCUCACUCAGUGGGUUAAGGAUCCUGCAUUGCUGUGAGCUGUGGUGUAGGUCGCAGACAUGGCUCAGCUCUGGCCCUGUGGCUGUGGUGUAGACCGGCAGCUGUAGCUCCGAUUCUGCCCCUAGCCUGGGAACAUCCAUAAGCCGCAGGUGCAGGCCUAAAAAAAAUAAAUAAACAGAAGCACAUAUCACACACAGGAUUUUUCCCCCAUAGGAGCAGCAUGUUGGAAUUCAUUAAAGAAGUGCUGACGUUCUAGAAUGUAACUGCUGGGAAUAAGGAGGGGAGCAGGGAGGUGCCAGGAACUCGUGUUUGUACCGCCCUGGGACAGCAAAUACCAAGAGCCUCCCGCUCUGGCUGUGCUGGCUGAGCACAGACACGCUGCCGGGCAGAAGGAAGGCAGAACCCCCUUCACCCAGUUACCAAAUGCCAGUGCCUGAGGACUGAGCCUGUGGGAGGCCUUGGCUCCUCUGCCAACCUGCCAGAUGCCUUGGUUACUGUCCUGCCUUCAGUGGCCCUUCCAGCUGGAUUACCUGGCCCCGUAUUUUCUAACCGCCCUGACCAGCCCUGUAUCUGCCUCGCUUGGCCGCCUCCGCCCCGUCCUUCGCCCAGCUUCCCGGCUCUGGCUGUAAGUCACUCCUUUGCUUUGUUUUGUUUUUUCUUUCAAUCGUGGCGAAACAUACAGAACGCAAAGGGGACCAUUGUAGCUGCUUUUAAGUGUACCGUUCAGCGGCAUCGAGAACGUUCACCCUGUUGUCUACCCAUCACCAGCCUUCAUUCCAGAACUGUUUUCAUCUCAAAAAAACAGAAACUGUUUCCAUUAAACACUCCCUGGGAGUUCCCUGGUGGUCUAGUAGAACUUGGUGCUUUAACUGCUGCAGUCUGGGUUCAAUCCCUGGUUUGGGAACUAAAAUCCCACAUUCAAGCUGCUGCAGGAUGUGGCAAAAAAAAAAAAAAAAAAAAAAAAA